rnacentral:rRNA from 1 species
CAGUCGCCGCGGUAAUACGUAGGGUGCAAGCGUUAAUCGGAAUUACUGGGCGUAAAGCGUGCGCAGGCGGUUAUAUAAGACAGAUGUGAAAUCCCCGGGCUCAACCUGGGAACUGCAUUUGUGACUGUAUAGCUAGAGUACGGCAGAGGGGGAUGGAAUUCCGCGUGUAGCAGUGAAAUGCGUAGAUAUGCGGAGGAACACCGAUGGCGAAGGCAAUCCCCUGGGCCUGUACUGACGCUCAUGCACGAAAGCGUGGGAAGCAAACAGGAUUAGAUACCCCAGUAGUCCCUGUCUCUUAUAA